AUUCCAGCACCAAUAGCGUGUAUUAAAGUUGUUGUGGUUAAAAAGCUCGUAGUUGGAUCUCAACAGCCUUGAAGCGGUUAACUUUGUAGUUUUACUGCUUUAUAGGCUGUGCUUUUGCUGGAGGUUUAGGGGUGCUCUUGAUCGAGUGUCUCUGGAUGCCAGCAGGUUUACUUUGAAAAAAUUAGAGUGCUCAAAGCAGGCUAAAAUGCCUGAAUAUUCGUGCAUGGAAUAAUAGAAUAGGAUGUCGAUCCUAUUUUGUUGGUUUUCGGGACUCGACAUAAUGAUAAAUAGGGACAGUCGGGGGCAUUUGUAUUCAAACGACAGAGGUGAAAUUCUUGGACCGUUUGAAGACAAACUACUGCGAAAGCAUUUGCCAAGAAUGUUUUCAUCA
rnacentral:rRNA from 1 species